rnacentral:tRNA from 1 species
CAAAGAAUAGUUUAAAAUAAAAUAUUAGUUUUGGAGACUAAUGAUGAGAUAAUCUCUUAUUUAA